AUUGAACGCUGGCGGAAUGCUUUACACAUGCAAGUCGAACGGUAGAGGGGGCAACCCCUCGAGAGUGGCGAACGGGUGAGUAAUAUAUCGGAACGUGCCCAGUCGUGGGGGAUAACGUAGCGAAAGUUACGCUAAUACCGCAUACGAUCUAAGGAUGAAAGCGGGGGAUCGCAAGACCUCGCGCGAUUGGAGCGGCCGAUAUCAGAUUAGGUAGUUGGUGGGGUAAAGGCGCACCAAGCCAACGAUCUGUAGCUGGUCUGAGAGGACGACCAGCCACACUGGAACUGAGACACGGUCCAGACGCCUACGGGAGGCAGCAGUGGGGAAUUUUGGACAAUGGACGCAAGUCUGAUCCAGCCAUUCCGCGUGCAGGAUGAAGGCCCUCGGGUUGUAAACUGCUUUUGUACGGAACGAAAAGGUCUCUCUUAAUACGGGGGGCUCAUGACGGUACCGUAAGAAUAAGCACCGGCUAACUACGUGCCAGCCGCCGCCGUAA
rnacentral:rRNA from 1 species